UACGAAGGGUGCAAACGUUGCUCGGAAUCAUUGGGCGUAAAGCGCACGUAGGCGGCUUGGCAAGUCGGAUGUGAAAUCCCUCGGCUCAACCAAGGAAGUGCAUCCGAAACUGCCGAGCUUGAGUACUUAAGAGGAUCGCGGAAUUCCCGGUGUAGAGGUGAAAUUCGUAGAUAUUGGGAGGAACACCAGUGGCGAAGGCGGCUCACUGGACCGGAACUGACGCUGAGGCGCGAAAGCGUGGGGAGCAAACGGG
rnacentral:rRNA from 1 species